CACGUAACACAUUUCAGUGUAUUUAUACUUAAAUAAUUUAGAGGGGUGGGAAUGUAAUUCCAUGCCAAGCCCUUAUGUGAGGGAAUCCCCUUCUAGCUGUCUCUUCAGUUGUGGGACACCCCUGAUAUUUUUCUUACAUUUUUGGGACACCCCUGAUAUUUUUUUCUUACAUUUCUGGGACAUCCCUGGUAUUUUCCUUACAUUUUUGAACACCCCUGGUAUUUUCUUAUAUUUUUUUGGGACACCUUCAUUAUUUUCCAGGUGUGCUCCCGACCUUAUCUGCCUUAUUCAUUUUAUAGAGCUUACUACCCCGGUAUUCUAAAUUCAUGUUUUGUGUUUAAAUGGUGCAUUUUGGCAUAAUUGUAUGAGCUACAUGAAUUAAAUAUUAUGGCGGAUAUCUCAUCGACUGAUGUUUUUGCUAAAUUAUUUCAAGUAGGGUUUAUUCAAAUGGACAAUCUUGAUGUGUAGCAGUAAGGGGAUGGGUUUUGAUAAUGGUUACUAUGACCAGUUGAAUCAGUAUUAUGGCUUGUCCUACAUUUGAAGAUUUAUUGUAGGCUCCAGCAAAAUGAACUAUUUUGUCAUCUUUGCAAAAGUGAUGAAAACUUUUUCAGAGUUUGUAAAAGAUUUUUCCAAAACUGGGCAUUAAGAGGUUUGUCUUUGUAUUUCAUGAAAAAAAUUAUAUUGGAUGUAUUUUGGAAUAGCUUACAUGUAUUCAAUUAUAUGUCCAAUUCAUGGAGAAUGUAAAAAAAAAAAAACUACAUAAAAUACUCAUUAGACUUUAUAAGACACUGUAGCUUUAUUUUUUAACUGAUUGUUUUUUUUUUAAUGAUGAGACAGAUUUGUCCUGCUCUGGUUUGUUCGUCUGUAGAGGUUAGAUGUAUAUUGAUGUAUGCAUUGAGAUAGACUGUUCAGUUGUGGUGCUUUAUUUGUUGCCAUAUAUAUAUAAACCCAUGUAUUUGUCAGAAUAUUGUACUGAAAUAAACAUCUCAAAA
rnacentral:sRNA from 1 species